rnacentral:tRNA from 1 species
GUGGGUAGAGCUCAGUGGUAGAGUGUGUGCUUAGCAGGCACAAGGUCCUGGGUUCAAUCCCCAGUACCUCCA